AACGCACCUUGCGCUCUAUGGCAAUCCGUAGAGCAUGCCUGUUUGAGUGCCAUGAAAUCUCCCACCCCAAGCGGUUUUUAAAUGAAACGGCUUGGCGGAUGGGGUCUGGAUGGGUGCCUCUGCCUGCGCUACCUAGCACAGGCUCGCCCGAAAUGCAUGAGCGCCUCGAGACACUUUGCAUCCGCCUCUCUGUUUGGGAGGAGGCGGCCAAGCAGUGUUUUUCUCCUGGCAUGGCAUGAUACGUCAUUUGCUAUGUCGCCUAAAGGAGGAAUGUUUGGUUGUGUCUGCGUGUGCUUCGAACUUGCCUCUGUGGCACAUCCCAAUUUCACUUCUGGUCUCAAAUCAGGUAGGAUCACCCGCUGAACUUAA
rnacentral:misc_RNA from 1 species